CUUUUUUUAAAUACAGAUUAGGAUUUACUAUUUACUGAAAGGCUAUGCAUUAGUUUGCUUCUUUCAUUAUUGUGUUUCGCCCUGCAUAAACUAGAUAGCUUUCCUGAUAACUACAGUCAGUACUCUCCUACUGCCAUUAGCGGUGACCUAAGAGGCUUAACCGUAAUAUUGCUUUGCAGUGUAAAUGUUGCAGAAAAUGACUGUCUUUUCUUUCUUCUUGUGUGCAGAUUGACUGUGACGUCAUAGCACUGAUGGAUGACGCAACUUUGGCAAACUACAUUCCCUCGUAUGGAGACCGAAUUGCCCUCUUCAAUUUCUGCAAAAGCAAGCAACCACUGUCAAAAAGAAAACUAGGACUUCUGCAAAAACUUCGUGAGAAAAUGAAAACCAGAAAAGAAAGUCCAAAGGAGAACACUUCACAUACAGAUGCAGGAAUAAGACAGACAAAGAAGCAAAAAGCAACACGAAAUGUUGAGAUAGGAUGGAUCCAUAGUGAUGGAAAAAUAGCCAAACAGGUAUUCAUUGUCUUCUACAGUAGAGCGGGACAUUUGAUUUACUCUCAGCGGAAUUGACCAGAGAAGGCAUCAGGUCAUGCACUGCACUGGCCUGCACCACGAUUAGUAUAAGGUAAGAAUGAAUGAUUUUUUUUUCCUACUCGUUAUUUCCAUGUUUGCAUUUGAAUAACAGUAAAAAACUCAUUAAUGUUGUACAUUAACGAGUUUUUUACUGUUAUUUACGAGCCGGAAAUUGUGUCUACUUCUUACAAUCCGGCAACAAAUAAACUGCACUGCGAACAAAGUAUAUCAACAAAGAAAACAUUUUCGUUUCAUAAUUUCUUCGUUAUAUUCCCUUACAAAGCUAGCUUUAACGCUUCGAGUUUUCCUUUGUUCUUGCCGUGGCCUCGGCGCUUGACCCAGACUUUAGCUCUGUAGUUGCUUAGUACUACAAAAAAUUCUAAAUCUGUGAUAUAUGAUUGAUAAACGUAAAGUUAACUGUAUAAACGUGUUCAAUGACUUUGUUACUUUUGAUGAUUGGAGAGCACUCGCUUCAAUUCGCACACGAAAACUUUAGACUCAGUUUGAAUGCCCACGUGACUGUACGUUGCACGCUGACCUAACUUUACGUUGCACGCGUACAUGACUUUCCGUUUGUGCCUUGAAUAAUGAAUAAGGGUACGUCCACACGUACCAGCGUAUUUUUGAAAACGCUGAUUUUUCUAUGCGUUUGCACCUUUUGUCCACACGUAAUGUAUGUCUGGCCGUACAUUGUGUUUUGUAUUUCCAGGCACAUUUCACGAAGCAGAACGCAGUCUUCAGAGAUAUCCACGUGAACGCUGUGAUACGUCUGACCUUCAGUCCGAAGAAGAAACCCAGACCAGUCUUAAAAGAAAGCACAAGUAAAACCCUUUUAUUCACAAACAUAUCUUUGAUUGUUAAGAAUUUAUGAUCUUGUCUUUUAUACAUAUCUGUGGUGCUUGCAUACUGCAAUAUCACCACAUAAUAUAGUCCAAAAAGUGGAAGUUUGUAAACUUUUUAAAAAUGCAAAGUCGUGUACACUUGUGCACUUCAAAAAUUCAUUGUAUACUGUACCUUCUUGCACGUCUCUGUUUCCUGUGUGUGUUGUUAGAAACUAACUUUAGGAAACAAUAUGCCAAAAGCAUAUUUACAAUUACAUAAGACCGUUUUUAAUUUCUUUUCUUUAGACCAAAUCCCCUGUACACAUAUACGGACUCAGAGGAUGAGCAGCCUACAAAAAAACGGUUUCCCCAGGCCCCUUGAGUGAAAAUACCAGGUAAUAUAAUACUGUCUAGUGUCUGUGUACAUACCUGUGUCUGACACAAGGAAACUUUUUUUGACAAGUUGUCUGUAUUCUUAAAUACUUAAAAAAAUAUCUUUUUCUAAACAGCCCUCAUCACUCCAGUCUGCCCCCCAGCCCACUGAUAGCAACCAUCAUAAUGCCACACCCAGCUUCCGGCACCUUUCGCCACUCCGGCACAAACCGACACAGCUUUGCGAUCUCGCCAGCAUGCAGUCUGAUGUCUUCCCCAUAGAUGGUAUGCUUUUAAAAAAAGUUUUAAAGCUGCAUCACAAUGUCAUUGUACUCUUAUCUAAAAAAAAAAACCCAAUUUAUACUCCUGAAUGUCAUCUUGUUGUGAUUUUUUUUUUUUUUUUUUCCCUGCAGAUUCCAGAGACUCUGUGAGGCCACUAUUACAAGGCAAGUUUGAAAAUCUUGGAAUUUCACAGUUUACAUGGUAUAACAAAUAUAUGUGACAGGCAAAAACUAGUAAACACAAGGGAAUAGAAAUACAUUGUACUGCCAAUACUUUGGUUUAUUCUUUGUAUGACUUGAAAAUCAGGCUUUAGGGAAAACUAAAUGACAUGUUUCUAUCAUCAAUUACAUGAAGUAAACACACAAGCACUUGCAUACACAUUUAAGACAUGAGACACGCUAAUUCCAUCUCAUAAAAUGUGUCUAUAGGUGAGACGCUUUGCGUUGAUUGGUGCUGCUGGACCACACUGGAGGUGCGAGUCCGCUGUGUAAUGGUUUAUGCCAUUACAAAGGAGCUGGCCUCUGUACUCAACUGGGCAGGGGAAAAAAAACCAAGGACCAGACAAAGCAAAAAAGGGCAUUUAAAGAGACAGCGCUGUGCAGAUGCAUAUUUGGUAAGUUUUAACAUUUAUUGUAGUUUUAUGAGCUUAAAGUGAACAAUAAAGGGAUCAAUUGAUGUGCUGGGUGCGUUUCACAUUUCCUAUGUCUGUUUUUUGCUAUAUUACUUUGUCUUUCUUAAUAACAAGACUUUCAUGUCCGGUUAAUCUGGAGAUGGAGUCUUUGGUCUUCGGCUUGUUUUAUCCUCGGGUUGUACACUUUGUACAGCCCGAGGACCCCAUGUUUUCUUUUUCUUUUUUUUUAAAGGAUACACGGCACACCAUGCUAAGACAUAUCACAUUUUCAGCUUAUAGCUCUUUGGGAAUCAAAUGCGGCAGUUUACUGAUUUCCGCCUGGUGACUUUCAUGUUUAUCAGCCUAGGAGUUUACAUACUUUCUCCCUGCUGAAGACAAUUAACAAGAGCUUAUUCAUGUGCUCUAAUUCCCUUUUUUUUGUCUUUGUUUUUUUUGUGUGUGUGUGUCUAUUUUUGUCCUAGAUGGCCUGGCGCAGCAGGUAGGGGCGAACUCUAUGUCUGAGUUGGUCUUUGCUCAAGCAGUCCAGAAAUGGCUCAGAUAUGCUCCAGAUCGUACGGGUGGCGCGCAGGACGCACAUCAUCCAUCCCCAUCCCGGAGUAAAUAAUAAAAAGUGACGUGAAACAUAGAAAUGUAAAUAGGAAACUUUGUCUUUUAAUAAAGUAUUUUGCAAAUGAUACAUGUCUAUUGACCUUUUUUGUUUUUUGUUUUCAAUAAAAAGCAACUGUGCGAAAGAGGUGGAAAAUUAACACCAUAGCUCAACAGUGUUUCAAUAUCAGAAUCUGACAUUGUUUCAAUGUCAACAGUGUUAGAAAAUAUAACGUCGAAUCAAUGUCAGGUUUCAACAUUGAUUCAACAUCAAAACCUGACGUUGUUUCAACGUUAAAAAUGGGUGCAAGAGUGAUGUUGGGUCAACGUCACACUUCAACGUUGCUUCAAUGACGUCGCCUGAUAUUGACUCAACACUGUUUCAAUGUUUCCUUGCUAUCUGGGUGGCGACCUGUCCAGGGUGUACCCCGCCUCUCGCCCUAUGACAGCUGGGAUAGGCUCCAGCGCCCCCCGCGACUCUGGAAAGGAUAAGCGGAAGCGAAUGGGUGAAUGAAUUAUUAUAAGAGCCUGAAAUUUGAUCACUAUUCUCUGUUUAUGCUGUACAAGCGCUACAGAUAUUUUUGUACUGUCAAACUGUUAAAUUUGACCUAUCAGGAUGGAUUUUGGCUCCCCUAGUGUUUGUUAAAUCAAGGAAAAUGAUCAUUAAAUUGAAUCUCAAACCUGCGAAACUGUUCCUGUCAUGUCUGUUUGUAUGUUCU
rnacentral:lncRNA from 1 species